rnacentral:lncRNA from 1 species
AUCUGCUGUGUAAUAAAAAAUGAACUGUCAGAAGCCGUCUAGUUUUGAUAUAUCACAUUGAAAGAGAGCAGUACAUGGAGCUUAGAGGGUGGCCAUUAUGACUAGAGUAGCUUAUCUCCAUCUGUGACUUGUCAAGAUAAAUUUGGAGGGGAUGUUUUUAUUGUUUGGUGCUUUAAGACUACCCACUCUGUCUCAUUGCUGCUUCUUUACAAACCCUAAAUAUCUAAAGUAAUGGUUUCUGUGUUACUGUGACCAUGAUACAAGACAGUAGCAAAGAGGGGAGGUUUGUGGGGUAUUUUCCCUUUAGACAUAUUGGAGUUUCCCUAAAAACAUUUGGCAGGGACUCAAAGUCAUGAUGGACCAGGGAACUAAAAAGGAGCCAGCCACAAGCUACAGUAUAGGCCAACCUCUUAACUUUGAAAGGCCCUCCCCUAGAGACCUACUUCUGAGAAGGUCCCACCUUUAAAAUCUCUUCCCCACCAGUAGGAAAUAAGUAUCCCAAAAGCCAAAAUAAUGACUUGGCUGGUCUGCUUUGGAUCUUAUCUUGAAUUGUCCCGGAGGUAGUUUAAUUCUGAUUCUCCAUUUAAAUAGCAGUCAUUGAUUACUAAAAAUUAUAAAUUUAAUCUCAUGUGAGGGCCUGUAGAUAUCAAUUCCUAUCAAACCUAGAAAUACAACUCAUUUAAUUAACACUACUUAAAGAAUAAUUAUUGCCGCAGACCCUCUGGGCCCUUUUGUCUGCAUGGAAUGGGUCUCUAGGUGCAGGUGGGCAAAGCGUUGGAUGAAAGAAGGGAGCCAGGUGCAAACUAGUCUUGUAAAACCCACCACCAGGGGUUCUGCACUAGCAGACCUUAUCAUGAAUACUGCAAUGCCCCAACACCCUAUUUCCUGGGUCUAGAGAAGAAUAUACUAACUUGCUUCUAAUAUGAAGCUCUAUACCAAGCUGUAGAGAAGAUCUCUGUCUCGGUGGGAUUCCCUAGCUCUAUUGUUCCCUAGUUUGGGUGAGAAUUGCUACUGUCCUUGGUAAAUAUUUUGUAGACCAGCUCUGACCUACUGUCUUUGUAAUGCUUAAUUAUUAACUGAAUAGGUAACUUCCUUUCUGCAGUCCUGCGGGAUUUCAAGCUCUUCAAGCUUGCAGGCUUCUGGGACCUUGGAACAAUGUGAAGGCUUAAUUAUAACAGAAUUUAAUCUUAAAAAGCAUUUAUAAUAAAAUAUUAAAAG